rnacentral:lncRNA from 1 species
CCACAAGACUUCUCCCACUUCAGAUGUCAGUCACAAAUGGUGAGUCCCAGGUUACUCACGCUUCUGUCAAACUUGGCUACAAGUUGGGCAUUCCCAAGACCCCUUCCUUACAUUCAAUAAUUUGCUAUAAUGGCUCGUAUCCUGAAACUUUGCUGAAUUUGUUUACCAGUUCUAGGAGCUUUCAAGAUGAAUCCUUAGGGUUUUCUAGGUAUAUGAUCAUAUCAUCAGCAAACAGCAACAGUUU